AAAGGAAUUGACGGGGGCCCGCACAAGCGGUGGAGCAUGUGGUUUAAUUCGACGCAACGCGAAGAACCUUACCAGGUCUUGACAUCCCCUGACGGCCUCAGAGAUGAGGAGUUCGGACUUCGGUUCGACAGGGAGACAGGUGGUGCAUGGUUGUCGUCAGCUCGUGUCGUGAGAUGUUGGGUUAAGUCCCGCAACGAGCGCAACCCUUAUUCUUAGUUGCCAGCACAUUGGGUGGGCACUCUAAGGAGACUGCCGGUGACAAACCGGAGGAAGGUGGGGAUGACGUCAAAUCAUCAUGCCCUUUAUGACCUGGGCUACACACGUGCUACAAUGGCCUGUACAAAGGGUAGCGAAGCCGCGAGGCGGAGCCAAUCCCAAAAAGCAGGUCUCAGUUCGGAUUGCAGGCUGCAACCCGCCUGCAUGAAGUCGGAAUCGCUAGUAAUCGCGGAUCAGCAUGCCGCGGUGAAUACGUUCCCGGGCCUUGUACACACCGCCCGU
rnacentral:rRNA from 1 species